CAUCUGUCUCUCCUCGCAGGCCCGAGACUUCCGCCGAUUUGGCCUACCUCUCCCAGAUUGCCGGCGUCCUCGCCCCCGCAGACAACUGCAGCCUCCCCCUCUUCCGCCCAAGACUUCAACCGAUUUGACCUGCCUCCUCCCGGAUAGCCAGCGUCCUCGCCCUAGCUGCCGCCUGCUACGCGUGACGCCCUCAUCCAUGGCACCGGAAGAGGCUGAUGUGGAUCGUUGCGGAGGACAACACGAAGGUCCUGGCUUCGGGCUCCACUAACUCACUGAAGAGACCAUCGGCGGCGGCAACGGUCACCAUCUCCGAGAAAUCUCGCUGAAGGCAACAUCGACGACGGUUCCGUGCAGCGUCGCCGCUUGAAGCUCCCACGGGAUCUACAGCCACCAUCCAAGGAGGAGAAGCCGGUCCCAGCAUCACCCAAGGUGGUGAAUGUCCCCUACCCUGGUCGUACUUGUACCCAUACCCGGCGUGGCUGUCCGACUGCUGCUCCCAGUCCCACCACAGCCACGGUGGGUGCCAGUGCUGCUCCACGGUAAGAUAAUUCACGAAGAAUAAUGCCAGCGAUCUAUCUCUGAGAAAGAAGACAAUAAUACACAUUCCACGACUGCAAUUUUAGCUAAACAAUGCAGAGCAAUUGAAGGAAAAAAGAAUAUUAAGGAAGUUGCCUGAAGUUAAGGUCAAAUUUUCUUUUCUCCUCUGUGGACACCAUCAAAUUGAUUUCUUGUUGGUUAUAUUCUUAACCCGUUGGUGAAUGAAGAUGUUAUUUUCCUUGUUAUCUUUAAUUUAUUCUUCCCAGCUACUACUAUGACAAUAUAAUGGUAAUUGUCAAAUUUAAGUGUUGAAAUUA